CCUACGGGUGGCAGCAGUGAGGAAUAUUGGUCAAUGGACGAGAGUCUGAACCAGCCAAGUAGCGUGAAGGAUGACUGCCCUAUGGGUUGUAAACUUCUUUUAUAUGGUAAUAAAAUGUUCCACGUGUGGGAUUUUGUAUGUACCAUAUGAAUAAGGAUCGACUAACUCCGUGCCAGCAGCCGCGGUAAUACGGAGGAUCCGAGCGUUAUCCGGAUUUAUUGGGUUUAAAGGGAGCGUAGGUGGAUUUUUAAGUCAGUUGUGAAAGUUUGCGGCUCAACCGUAAAAUUGCAGUUGAAACUGGCAGUCUUGAGUACAGUAGAGGUGGGCGGAAUUCGUGGUGUAGCGGUGAAAUGCUUAGAUAUCACGAAGAACUCCGAUUGCGAAGGCAGUUCACUGGACUGCAACUGACACUGAGGCUCGAAAGUGUGGGUAUCAAACAGGAUUAGAUACCCGAGUAGUC
rnacentral:rRNA from 1 species